rnacentral:sRNA from 1 species
CGACACGUGCUCGCUGGAGAAAGUUGC